rnacentral:rRNA from 1 species
UGGCGAACGGGUGAGUAACGCGUGAGGAACCUGCCUCAAAGAGGGGGACAACAGUUGGAAACGACUGCUAAUACCGCAUAAGCCCACGGGUCGGCAUCGACCUGAGGGAAAAGGAGCAAUCCGCUUUGAGAUGGCCUCGCGUUCGAUUAGCUAGUUGGUGAGGUAACGGCCCACCAAGGCGACGAUCGGUAGCCGGACUGAGAGGUUGAACGGCCACAUUGGGACUGAGACACGGCCCAG